rnacentral:rRNA from 1 species
UACGUAGGGGGCAAGCGUUGUCCGGAUUUAUUGGGCGUAAAGAGCGUGUAGGCGGCUUUACAGGUGCGUUGUGAAAACUCGAGGCUCAACCUCGAGACGCCGGUGGAAACCGUAAAGCUAGAGUCCGGCAGAGGAGAGUGGAAUUCCUGGUGUAGCGGUGAAAUGCGUAGAUAUCGUAAGGAAGACCAGUGGCGAAGGCGGGUCUCUGGACAGUUCCUGACGCUGAGGCACGAAGGUGAGGGGAGCAAACGGG